AGAACUUAGCAGAGAUGCUUUGGUGCCUUCGGGAACUCUGAGACAGGUGCUGCAUGGCUGUCGUCAGCUCGUGUUGUGAAAUGUUGGGUUAAGUCCCGCAACGAGCGCAACCCUUAUCCUUUGUUGCCAGCGGUUCGGCCGGGAACUCAAAGGAGACUGCCAGUGAUAAACUGGAGGAAGGUGGGGAUGACGUCAAGUCAUCAUGGCCCUUACGAGUAGGGCUACACACGUGCUACAAUGGCAUAUACAAAGAGAAGCGACCUCGCGAGAGCAAGCGGACCUCAUAAAGUAUGUCGUAGUCCGGAUUGGAGUCUGCAACUCGACUCCAUGAAGUCGGAAUCGCUAGUAAUCGUAGAUCAGAAUGCUACGGUGAAUACGUUCCCGGGCCUUGUACACACCGCCCGUCACACCAUGGGAGUGGGUUGCAAAAGAAGUAGGUAGCUUAACCUUCGGGAGGGCGCUUACCACUUUGUGAUUCAUGACUGGGGUGAAGUCGUAACAAGGUAACCGUAGGGGAACCUGCGGUUGGA
rnacentral:rRNA from 1 species